UACGGGGGGGGCAAGCGUUGUUCGGAAUUACUGGGCGUAAAGGGCUCGUAGGCGGCCAACUAAGUCAGACGUGAAAUCCCUCGGCUUAACCGGGGAACUGCGUCUGAUACUGGAUGGCUUGAGUGCGGGAGAGGGAUGUGGAAUUCCAGGUGUAGCGGUGAAAUGCGUAGAGAUCCGGAGGAACACCAGAGGCGAAGGCGGCCUACUGGGCUGCACCUGACGCUGAGCCGCGAAAGCCAGGGGAGCGAACGGG
rnacentral:rRNA from 1 species